GCAUCAGUGGUCUAACGGUUAUGAUCCGGUCUUCCCAGAUUUCCACCACUUGGUUUGGCCGGGAAAGGGGUUCGACUCCCCUCUGAUGCA